CUCCUGAAUUUAGGCGAAGAGGCCUGUCAGAUUUAGUGCUCAGGCUCCCAGAAGAAAGGUGGAUUUAAGGGGCUCCUUUAAAAAAAAGAGCUAAUCAAUAUUCCCCCCACAGGAGGGCUCUUGAUUUAAAUACUUUGUUCUGGGAGUAAAUCAUUGCAAGACUGGGAGAGGAGCCCGGUGGGCCUGCGGGGCCAUCCUGUGCCACAAGAGGGUGUGCUUGAGGGCAUUGGCUUGCCCCUACCAGUAUAGUGUAUUCCUCUUCCUGUAGCUAUACUGCUCUGGGCACCUACAAUAAUACAGUCUUCUCCGGCACUUGUCAUCAUUAGGCCUCAAAGCACUUUACAAAGGAGUAUUACAUGGGCUCUGCCAGGAUUAAAAACGUCCACACGAUCUUCCUCUGCUUAUGCCACUGCGGGUUAGGAUCAUUAUCCGAUGCUGAGCUCUGCCUAUUGGCCUCUCUGCUGUACUUUGACUGCACGCCGGAACAGACUGGAUCCUUUGUUCAGGAAUGCACAUGAGCCUUCGCUUCCUCUAGCUCAGGGGUCGGCAGCCUUUCAGGACUGGACUCUGGGAAGGAUGCCGUUGCUUCAGCUGCAAAGGGACUUUCCAGUGUGCAGCCCUACCAACCACAAACAUUCAUAAAGGAUGAGUCAGGCCUGCAUACCUCAUUGGUUGAAAGCUCCCGAUAUUUUUUUUUCCGCCAAAGAAUAGAUGUGAGACUUUUCUGGCUUCUGAGCCUUUUGGGGUCUGAUUUUCUAGCACUUCCCUGCAAUCACAAGAGGGAAAAAGGUUAUUUUUCAAAGAAAAGAGCAAGCAAGCAAGCUGAGAUUCUCACCUAAUCACCUGACUUCAGGAGCUCGGGCUUUAAGAAAAACACCAGAGAGUAUACAACUCUUGAUGACAACACCAGAGCUGGCAAUACUGAUAGCAUGGGGCUCUGGGACUGUAUGAGGCCCUAGAGACUGCAACUCCAGGGAAUCAGAUCAGGCCAGACAGCGAGAUUCUUGCAGCUUGUCCUGCAGCUUGUCUUUGUGCUGACACUUCUGUGAUAACAAUCUCCGCGGCUUGCGGGUGGCUGCUGUGGUUCUAAGAACAGAGCUCGGCCACCUUCCUCCAACGCGCUCCGGUGGCUUUACGCUGACUUAUUUGCAUAGAGGGGAAAAUACAAGUGGUUUUGAAUGGAAGCUGUUCAAGAGACGCAAUGGUUACUUGAGAUUGAGCCCCUCAAAUAUGAGGGUUGCCUGAAAUGGA